UUUUUUUUGGUAUGCACGAUGGAUGUUUGAUAAAAUGUGUCAUAAGUUUCCAUAAGUGAAUUUUUGUACGACAUGUUAGGGAUAUUGACGGAAAGAGACUACUAUUUUGUUUUUCUGUUCAUAGGAAUUUGUUUUUCUCCUUUACCGGUAUCGUUACCAUCCUAGGAAGCAGGGGUGACUGAUCACUAAGAAGGGAUGUGCUAUCUAUUACUGUAUAUGACUAGUUUCGAAUUUAUUGAGUUUGGAUGCUGCAAAUGUAAUGUAGAGAGUUAGUAUAGAUUGACACUUAAUUAGUCCAUAAGGUUUGCUCACAGAUGACCAAAAGAGUAUAAUUUAAAACAUUUUGGUUGGUUUGUUAAAUAGUUCAGAUGUUUAAAACUAUUAGGUGAUUGUUAGCUGAUUGUUAGCUGGACAGUUAGAUUGCGAAACCAGAAUCGCUAAGAUGGAUUGGUACAUGCUCACAUUUCCAUGGUCAUAUUCAUUUAGACUUUUGAACCUUUUACGGAUAGACUUUUAGACCUUUAACGGAUAGAUCAAAAAUGAAAUAUACAGAUAUUUUCAUCAGCCAAGUGUUUUUCCAUGUUCACUUAAUUCUUCUGCUAAUUCCUGCCACUUAUGUCUAAUUGUGACCUUCCAAAGAAUCAUGAAUUUUACAUUCAUCAGAUUGGUUGUUCUGGCCAUAUUGAGCGCAAGGUAAUUUUUUCUCUAUGAUUUGCUAACACCGAGCUCUCCUUUUCAGUCAGUAGGUGUUUCUUUUUUUAUUCAUGUAAAUAACGGUCUUGCAUUGGGUACUAAGAAUGUGAAAGGAAGACUCCUAAUUGAACUGGUUUAGUCUUUAUAUUUCUAAUCUUUACUGCUUUUAAGAGCAUUUGUGAUUAGAAAUAUGAAUAUUAACCCAACUUCAGUUGGAAAACUUGUUGGUAUAUCUGUUAAGGGUUUGGUUACUCAAAUACUUCGGAAAGCGGCUAACUACACCUCAAAUUCCUGAUGACUUGUGCUCAUUUAUAAUUUAUGGAGCUCUGUCAAAGAUGUUUCAUGCACGAAACAUGUUUUAGACUGUUAAGAGUAAAUGUUUUCAUAUACGAAUCAUCUCCGGACUUAAAUGCACUAUAACAGGAUUACAAGAAAGAAAUGGAUUUGUACCUUAAAUAGGUGAGAUGUAUGUUUUAGUUUUGUUUUGGUGAGUAGCUGAUGGUUUUGUGUGAAUGAAUUGGGUUUAUAGUAAAUUUUGGGUUCUGUUCGAAUUUGAACCCUAUAAAUCAGUAGAAAGAACAUCAGGUAAAAUUGUGCUGCCGCUAUUAGAGAUUUUUAUGAGUUUGUGAACUGAAAGAGGAGUUGGUGGAGUUGGUUGGGUUUGCAAACAAGGCUUAAGUGGGGUUCGACUUGGAUUGAGGGUUAUCUGAAAUGAUGUUGGUGACAGACACAGGGAAGAUGUCUUAGGAGUAUUGGUGCUGUUGUUUCAGUGAAGAAAAUCUACAGCAGAGAAAUGCAUUGAAGGAAUUGAUGGUGGUACUGAAUUGUGAGAAAUGGAGAACAACAGCUGCAAGCAAUGGAACUGAGACAUGUCAAGGUUUGCUGGCAGUGGUGAAUGACUGAGCAGAAGUAGAUGAAUGUUAAGAAAAUGUGUAUUAGUUGAUUUUUUGCUGGCAGUGGUGAAAGAGCUGUAUUUGUUGCAGUUCAUGGAAGUAAUGUAUUGCAGGUGGUUUUGAGGUUGUACAGUUGGGAUCUAAAUCAAGGAUGAAGCAGCUGAGAGUACAGUAUCGUAGGAGCUAACCUAACCAGGGUAGUUAACCUAACUCGACUAGGGAGGGUAAGUUAGGGAAAACCGGGUUUGGUUAACUCGGUGAGUUUCAGCGAGUCCAACUCGCACCUUUCUGCCAGUUUUUAACGUUUCAGACCCUGUUUGCCCCUUUCCUGGAAAUAGUGAAUUUCCAUGACCUU